rnacentral:rRNA from 1 species
UACGGAGGGGGCUAGCGUUGUUCGGAAUUACUGGGCGUAAAGCGCGCGUAGGCGGCUUUGUAAGUUAGAGGUGAAAAGCCCAGGGCUCAACCCUGGAAUUGCCUUUAAGACUGCAUCGCUUGAACAUCGGAGAGGUAAGUUGGAAUUCCGAGUGUAGAGGUGAAAAUUCGUAGAUAUUCGGAAGAACACCAGUGGGCGAAAGGCGGCUCACUGGACUGGUAUUGACG